UAGAGUUUGAUCAUGGCUCAGAUUGAACGCUGGCGGCAGGCCUAACACAUGCAAGUCGAGCGGAUGAGAAGAGCUUGCUCUUCGAUUCAGCGGCGGACGGGUGAGUAAUGCCUAGGAAUCUGCCUGGUAGUGGGGGACAACGUUUCGAAAGGAACGCUAAUACCGCAUACGUCCUACGGGAGAAAGCAGGGGACCUUCGGGCCUUGCGCUAUCAGAUGAGCCUAGGUCGGAUUAGCUAGUUGGUGAGGUAAUGGCUCACCAAGGCGACGAUCCGUAACUGGUCUGAGAGGAUGAUCAGUCACACUGGAACUGAGACACGGUCCAGACUCCUACGGGAGGCAGCAGUGGGGAAUAUUGGACAAUGGGCGAAAGCCUGAUCCAGCCAUGCCGCGUGUGUGAAGAAGGUCUUCGGAUUGUAAAGCACUUUAAGUUGGGAGGAAGGGCAGUAAGCGAAUACCUGCUGUUUUGACGUACCGA
rnacentral:rRNA from 1 species